rnacentral:tRNA from 1 species
UCCCUGGUGGCUCAGAUGGUAAAGCGUCUGCCUGCAAUGCAGGAGACCCGGGUUCGAUUCCUGGAUUGGGAA